rnacentral:rRNA from 1 species
GUAGUCAUACGCUUGUCUCAAAGAUUAAGCCAUGCAUGUCUAAGUAUAAACAAUUUUGUACUGUGAAACUGCGAAUGGCUCAUUAUAUCAGUUAUAGUCUACUCGAUAGUACCUUACUACUUGGAUAACCGUAGUAAUUCUAGAGCUAAUACAUGCACAAAUACCCAACUGCUUGUCGGACGGGUAGCAUUUAUUAGAUUGAAACCAAUGCAGUCUUCGGGCUGGUAUUGUGUUGAGUCAUAAUAACUGUGCGGAUCGCACUCAGUGCGAUAAAUCGAUUGAGUUUCUGCCCUAUCAGCUUUGGAUGGUAGGAUACGGGCCUACCAUGGCAUUAACGGGUAACGGGGAAUUAGGGUUU